rnacentral:lncRNA from 1 species
GCUGUUCUCUCUGGUUAUAAAUCCCUCCCUGUCUCCUCCUCUUAUCUCACUCAAAACCCAGCUGAGAUUUCAGCAUUUCCAUGCAGACUCCUCCCUUAUACCUGUUCUUCUUUCCGCACUUGGGACUCUGCCAGCACUUGGCAUUUAAUCAGCCACAGUGGAUUUAAGUGUUUCACUUGUGAGUGGCUUAUCUCCCACAUUACACUAGAUAUUCCUUGAGGGCACUGACCAGCCUCCUGCAUCCGUCCGUCAGCUUGGCCCAGCCACAGCUCUGUCUCUUCUUGGUGAGUGGCUCUGGGCACUUGCCCCUUCCCAUCACUGUGCCUAAUCCCUCUCCUGUACACGGUGGGGACCACUGGAGGAGCUCUGGAGACUCCCUCUUGUGAACAUUAGGACUCCAAAAUGGUCCCCAGCUUGCUUCAGAGAGCUCACAGCCAAGAUGACAAGUGAGACCAUCAACCAUCAGUCCACUACCACCCUCAUAUCAUUGUUUUAUAUGUAUGAGAACCACCAUCAUCAUGGCAGUUACCUCCAAUUCAGCACCUUUUACAGAUCAUCACCAGGUAAUUCUACAUGCACUACCUCAUUUAUUCCUCAAAACAUCCUGAAGAAGGGGAAUUAUCCUUCACUGAUAUUCUCCAAGUGCCUGGGGCAGUGUGUGGCACAUUACAGAGGGUAACUAAAUUUUAAUUGAAUGACUUUGUUACAGGCAGUUAGACAGGCACAAGCCGCGCAGGAGAGGGCUCUCCCACCAUCCACUAGGAAUGUUGGGUGAUGGUUUGGUAAUGAUCACAUUCCCUCUCUAAAAUUUAUAAACUCGCAGCCAACACCAGAGACAGAGAUCAUUUCCUGAUGAUCCACACCUUUUGCACCAAAGUGUUAAUUGAAUGCAGGUGCCGGGGGAGACUGAGGCAGAAGAAUCGCUUGAACCCAGAAGGUGGAGGUUGCAGUGAGCAGAGAUCGCGCCACUGCCCUCCAACCAGGGUGACAGAGCGAGACUCCGUCUCAAAAAAAAGAAAAAAAGAAAAGAAAGAAAGAAAAGAAAAGAGACAAAAUGGCAGAGUCUGACCUUCGGACCUUCGGGGCACUCUGCUGGAAAAGCGAUGAUGGGCAUGUGCACCACUUCCUAAACACAUUGCGCAUGCUCACCUCCGGAGGCAGCUUCUCACUCAGCUGCCAUGCAUUGACUUCCCUGUUGAUCCAGCCUACUGCGGACCCAAAUAUUCCUGUUGCCAGAUAGGAGGGAUGAGUAAUGGAGACUCCAGUCCUCAGAGACCUUGAUCAAGUAAAGCAAAAACCCCUUCCUCCACUUUCUUUGCAAGUGGCUAAACCCUUAGUCACUCUGGGAAGAAAAGUAAACUGAAAACUUGAAAAAGUCCCAAGACAGAAUCUAACUCCAUCCCCUGCCCCAGAUAAAAAGCAAGAUAGCACAACUAUAGCAACCUUUUAAGUCAAAUUAAAUGAGCUAAUAAAAAUCAGGCCUGUUCAAGUGCCCAAUUGAUUUAAACAUGAAGAUUGUCAGUUUCCAGCAUCACUGAUUCUAAUCCAACAACCCUCACCAUAGAGGUCUUCAUUCAGCCUGCUGUGUUUGGAGGUUUUGCUUAUUGGGUGUGUAUCUGUAAGGUAAAUCUUGACGAUUUCCUUACUACAGACAAUUAUCUGGCUGGAGAUGUC